rnacentral:misc_RNA from 1 species
UUCGUUUGUUGGUACGUGUAGUUCAAGACCACACUGCUUGCUUUAUCUAGAUCUUUCUGCUAGCUUGGUUAUAUGGCCGU